AUACGUAGGUGGCAAGCGUUAUCCGGAUUUAUUGGGCGUAAAGCGAGCGCAGGCGGUUUAAUAAGUCUGAAGUUAAAGGCAGUGGCUUAACCAUUGUUCGCUUUGGAAACUGUUAAACUUGAGUGCAGAAGGGGAGAGUGGAAUUCCAUGUGUAGCGGUGAAAUGCGUAGAUAUAUGGAGGAACACCGGUGGCGAAAGCGGCUCUCUGGUCUGUAACUGACGCUGAGGCUCGAAAGCGUGGGGAGC
rnacentral:rRNA from 1 species